rnacentral:rRNA from 1 species
AUUGAACGCUGGCGGCAUGCCUUACACAUGCAAGUCGAACGGCAGCGCGGACUUCGGUCUGGCGGCGAAUGGCGAACGGGUGAGUAAUACAUCGGAACGUACCCUGUUGUGGGGGAUAACUAGUCGAAAGAUUAGCUAAUACCGCAUACGACCUGAGGGUGAAAGUGGGGGACCGGAAACGGCCUCAUGCAGCAGGAGCGGCCGAUGUCUGAUUAGCUAGUUGGUGGGGUAAAGGCCCACCAAGGCGACGAUCAGUAGCUGGUCUGAGAGGACGAUCAGCCACACUGGGACUGAGACACGGCCCAGACUCCUACGGGAGGCAGCAGUGGGGAAUUUUGGACAAUGGGGGCAACCCUGAUCCAGCAAUGCCGCGUGUGUGAAGAAGGCCUUCGGGUUGUAAAGCACUUUUGUCCGGAAAGAAAUCGCGCUGGUUAAUACCUGGCGUGGAUGACGGUACCGGAAGAAUAAGCACCGGCUAACUACGUG